AGCCCUCGCUUUUCUGUACCGUAAGGUGGUACAGGAACAAGGACUGGGCAAGACCGGUGCCAGCCGCCGCGGUAAUACCGGCAGUCCAAGUGAUGGCCGAUAUUAUUGGGCCUAAAGCGUCCGUAGCCGGCCGGACAAGUCCGUUGGGAAAUCGACGCGCUCAACGCGUCGGCGUCCAGCGGAAACUGUCCGGCUUGGGGCCGGAAGACCUGAGGGGUACGUCCGGGGUAGGAGUGAAAUCCUGUAAUCCUGGACGGACCACCAAUGGGGAAACCACCUCAGGAAGACGGACCCGACGGUGAGGGACGAAAGCUAGGGUCUCGAACCGGAUUAGAUACCCGGGUAGUCCUAGCUGUAAACGAUGCUCGCUAGGUGUGCCGUAGGCUACGAGCCUGCGCUGCGCCCUAGGGAAGCCGAGAAGCGAGCCGCCUGGGAAGUACGUCUGCAAGGAUGAAACUUAAAGGAAUUGGCGGGGGAGCACCACAACCGGAGGAGCCUGCGGUUUAAUUGGACUCAACGCCGGACAUCUCACCGGUCCCGACAGUAGUAAUGACGGUCAGGUUGACGACUU
rnacentral:rRNA from 3 species